AUUGAACGCUGGCGGCAGGCUUAACACAUGCAAGUCGAACGAGUGGCGGACGGGUGAGUAAUGCUUGGGAAUCUAGCUUAUGGAGGGGGAUAACUACGGGAAACUGUAGCUAAUACCGCAUACCAUAGGAUGAGCCCAAGUGGGAUUAGGUAGUUGGUGGGGUAACGGCUCACCAAGCCGACGAUCUCUAGCUGGUCUGAGAGGAUGACCAGCCACACUGGAACUGAGACACGGCCCAGACUCCUACGUGAGGCAGCAGUAGGGAAUCUUCGGCAAUGGACGAAAGUUGACCGAGCCACGCCGCGUGAGUGAAGAAGGUUUUCGGAUCGUAAAGCUCUUUUGUUAGAGAAGCGUUAUCUACCCAGAAAGCCACGGCUAACUCCGUGCCAGCAGCCGCGGUAAUAC
rnacentral:rRNA from 1 species